AAAACAUAGUUUGCAGCACUAAUUGCAGAUUAAUUUUGCUCAAUGAACAGUUAUAAUUUAAAUAGCCGCAGUACUUUGACUGUGCUAAGGUAGCAAAAUAAUUUGACUUUUAAUUGGGGCCCUGCAUGAAAGAAUAAAUGGUUAAGAUUUGUCUUUUUUAUUUUGUUUAAAAUUUGCUUAGUUGGUGAAAAUUCCAACCUAGAAAAUACUAGACGAGAAGACCCUUAGAAUUUUAAUUAAAGAAAAAUAAAAAAUUUUUCGUUUUUGUUGGGGCGACAUCAUAACAAAAUAGCAAAACUUAUGAACCAUAUUUUACAAAACUAAUCAAAUUUAGAGAAGAGUAUAAUUACCUUAGGGAUAACAGCACAAUAUUUUUUUUGUUUGUGACCUCGAUGUUGGAUUAGGGCCAUAAGUGGUUAAAAAUUACUUUUGUUUCUUCUGUUCGAAGAAUUUCACCUACGUGAUCU
rnacentral:rRNA from 1 species